CCGCCCGUCACACCACGAAAGCCCGCUGCAACAGAAAUCGGUGAUUCAACCCGCAAGGGAGAUAGCCGCCCAUGGUAUGGCUGGUGACUGGGGUG
rnacentral:rRNA from 1 species